rnacentral:rRNA from 1 species
UACGUAGGGUGCAAGCGUUAAUCGGAAUUACUGGGCGUAAAGCGUGCGCAGGCGGUUAUGUAAGACAGGUGUGAAAUCCCAGGGCUUAACCUUGGAACUGCAUUUGUGACUGCAUAGCUAGAGUACGGUAGAGGGGAUGGAAUUCCGCGUGUAGCAGUGAAAUGCGUAGAUAUGCGGAGGAACACCGAUGGCGAAGGCAAUCCCUGGACCUGUACGUGACGC